rnacentral:rRNA from 1 species
GAUGAACGCUGGCGGCGUGCCUAAUACAUGCAAGUCGAGCGGACCAAAGAGAGCUUGCUCUCUGAGGUUAGCGGCGGACGGGUGAGUAACACGUGGGUAACCUGCCUGUAAGACGGGGAUAACUUCGGGAAACCGAAGCUAAUACCGGAUGAUAAAGAGAAACGCCCGUUUCUUUUUUGAAAGUCAGCCUUGUGCUGACGCUUACAGAUGGGCCCGCGGCGCAUUAGCUAGUUGGUGAGGUAACGGCGCACCAAGGCGACGAUGCGUAGCCGACCGGGGAGGGGGAUGGGCACAGCUGGGACGGAGACACGGCCAAGACUCCUACGGGAGGCGGCAGUAGGGAAUCUUCGGCAAUGGACGAAAGUCUGACCGAGCAACGCCGCGUGAGCGAUGAAGGCCUUCGGGUCGUAAAGCUCUGUUGUCAGAGAAGAACAAGUACCGGAGUAACUGCCGGUACCUUGACGGUACCUGACCAGAAAGCCACGGCUAACUACGUGCCAGCCGCCGCAGUAA